GCUGCUCCUAGUACGAGAGGACCGGAGUGGACGCAUCACUGGUGUUCGGGUUGUCAUGCCAAUGGCACUGCCCGGUAGCUAAAUGCGGAAGAGAUAAGUGCUGAAAGCAUCUAAGCACGAAACUUGCCCCGAGAUGAGUUCUCCCUGACUCCUUGAGAGUCCUGAAGGAACGUUGAAGACGACGACGUUGAUAGGCCGGGUGUGUAAGCGCAGCGAUGCGUUGAGCUAACCGGUACUAAUGAACCGUGAGGCUUAACCUUACAACGCCGAAGCUGUU
rnacentral:rRNA from 1 species